UUAUGUUGUAGUCGUCUUUAUGUAGACGGCAAUCAUCUUUGGAUAGACUAACAGCAGUACACAUGAGCUGUCUGUAUAAUCAACUUCGUCAUUCUGGGUGGUCAUUGUGAAGCACAUAAGUCAAGUAUGAAGAUUGUGGCCGUGGUGUUAACGUUUGUGGUCCUUGUUAGCCUCUCUUCGGCACAGCUGACCUUGUAUCCUCGCCCCAACAAAACAAGUGGUUGUCCAGGAAAUCUGGUACUCACUAAACAUUGCGACAGGGUUUGUGCCAAAACAUGCGCUCAACCUGUCCUCGGAAUGUGUUAUUUCCUGUGUUGGAGAGGUUGCGUUUGCCCCAAGGACCGCCCUAUCGUCCUGGAUAAGGAAACCUGGACAUGCGGAAGGCUGGCUGACUGCCCUGCACAAUAAAUUGACACUUUUUGAAAAUUUGCCCAUUUUCUGUAGGAUCUAAGGUAAAGCUGUAGAUUGAGCGUGGCUCAUGAUCAGCAAAUACACAUUUGAAACUUGUUGGAAUCUUUUUUUGUUGUU